ACGUAGGGUCCAAGCGUUAUCCGGAAUCACUGGGCGUAAAGCGUGCGUAGGUGGAUGUUUAAGUGAGUUGUUAAAUCGCGUGGCUCAACCAUGUCGAUGCAAUUCAUACUGGACGUCUAGAGGACGGCAGAGGCAAGUGGAAUUAGCAGUGUAGCAGUGAAAUGCGUAGAUAUUGCUAGGAACACCAAUGGCGAAGGCAGCUUGCUGGGCCACUCCUGACACUGAGGCACGAAAGCGUGGGGAGCGAACAGGA
rnacentral:rRNA from 1 species